rnacentral:rRNA from 1 species
AAUCAACGCUGGCGGCGUGCCUAACACAUGCAAGUCGAACGCGAAAGGGGACUUCGGUUCCUGAGUAGAGUGGCGUACGGGUGAGUAACGCGUGGGUCAUCUGCCCUCGGGUGGGGAAGUAACUAAUCGAAAGGUUAGACUAAUACCGCAUAACACAGUGAUGUCAAAGCAGCAAUGUGCCUGAGGAGGAGCCUGCGUCUGAUUAGGUAGUUGGUGGGGUAACGGCCUACCAAGCCUGCGAUCAGUAGCUGGUCU